GAUGAACGCUGGCGGCGUGCCUAAUACAUGCAAGUCGAGCGAACGGACGAGAAGCUUGCUUUUCUGAUGUUAGCGGCGGACGGGUGAGUAACACGUGGAUAACCUACCUAUAAGACUGGGAUAACUUCGGGAAACCGGAGCUAAUACCGGAUAAUAUUUUGAACCGCAUGGUUCAAAAGUGAAAGACGGUCUUGCUGUCACUUAUAGAUGGAUCCGCGCUGCAUUAGCUAGUUGGUAAGGUAACGGCUUACCAAGGCAACGAUGCAUAGCCGACCUGAGAGGGUGAUCGGCCACACUGGAACUGAGACACGGUCCAGACUCCUACGGGAGGCAGCAGUAGGGAAUCUUCCGCAAUGGGCGAAAGCCUGACGGAGCAACGCCGCGUGAGUGAUGAAGGUCUUCGGAUCGUAAAACUCUGUUAUUAGGGAAGAACAUAUGUGUAAGUAACUGUGCACAUCUUGACGGUACCUAAUCAGAAAGCCACGGCUAACUACGUGCCAGCAGCCGCGGUAAUACGUAGGUGGCAAGCGUUAUCCGGAAUUAUUGGGCGUAAAGCGCGCGUAGGCGGUUUUUUAAGUCUGAUGUGAAAGCCCACGGCUCAACCGUGGAGGGUCAUUGGAAACUGGAAAACUUGAGUGCAGAAGAGGAAAGUGGAAUUCCAUGUGUAGCGGUGAAAUGCGCAGAGAUAUGGAGGAACACCAGUGGCGAAGGCGACUUUCUGGUCUGUAACUGACGCUGAUGUGCGAAAGCGUGGGGAUCAAACAGGAUUAGAUACCCUGGUAGUCCACGCCGUAAACGAUGAGUGCUAAGUGUUAGGGGGUUUCCGCCCCUUAGUGCUGCAGCUAACGCAUUAAGCACUCCGCCUGGGGAGUACGACCGCAAGGUUGAAACUCAAAGGAAUUGACGGGGACCCGCACAAGCGGUGGAGCAUGUGGUUUAAUUCGAAGCAACGCGAAGAACCUUACCAAAUCUUGACAUCCUUUGACAACUCUAGAGAUAGAGCCUUCCCCUUCGGGGGACAAAGUGACAGGUGGUGCAUGGUUGUCGUCAGCUCGUGUCGUGAGAUGUUGGGUUAAGUCCCGCAACGAGCGCAACCCUUAAGCUUAGUUGCCAUCAUUAAGUUGGGCACUCUAAGUUGACUGCCGGUGACAAACCGGAGGAAGGUGGGGAUGACGUCAAAUCAUCAUGCCCCUUAUGAUUUGGGCUACACACGUGCUGCAAUGGACAAUACAAAGGGCAGCGAAACCGCGAGGUCAAGCAAAUCCCAUAAAGUUGUUCUCAGUUCGGAUUGUAGUCUGCAACUCGACUACAUGAAGCUGGAAUCGCUAGUAAUCGUAGAUCAGCAUGCUACGGUGAAUACGUUCCCGGGUCU
rnacentral:rRNA from 1 species